rnacentral:rRNA from 1 species
UACGUAGGGUGCAAGCGUUGUCCGGAAUUAUUGGGCGUAAAGAGCUCGUAGGCGGUUCGUCGCGUCGGCUGUGAAAACCUGAGGCUCAACCUCAGGCCUGCAGUCGUACGGGCGACUUGAGUACUGCAGGGGAGACUGGAAUUCCUGGUGUAGCGGUGAAAUGCGCAGAUAUCAGGAGGAACACCGGUGGCGAAGGCGGGUCUCUGGGCAGUAACUGACGCUGAGGAGCGAAAGCGUGGGGAGCAAACAGG